UAUAUUUGUACUUACUGAAACUCAGUACAACUAUCACCCCCACCCCUCUUCAAUCCUGAUCCAAACAAGGAACUUGUUUUAAAUUGGAUCUUCACACUUGAGUCAGAUCUAUGCAGGGACUCAGCAAGACAGGAAGCUUGUCCAGUGUGAGUCAUAGCUUCAACAACACUGUUAACCUGUAAAGAUGGGAAACUGACAGAGAACUUCUCCCUGCCAUUGAAGGUCAUAUCCCAGUACAGAUGAUUUCAAGGUACAAUACUCUGUAUCCAUCAGAAGGAACAUCCGGGGAAAUAGAAAGCUACAGGGGCACAAUCUACUUAUGAAAACCCAGAAGCAAACCACCCAAACCACAGCCUCUGAUCCUCCCACAAGGGGAUAUUUUUACCACUCUCCAUAAUGCUGAG